rnacentral:rRNA from 1 species
CCACUAGCGUCUAUUAAAGUUGUUGCAGUUAAAAAGCUCGUCGUUGAAUUUCGGGGUUAGUAGGCUGGUCAUGCCUCUGGUAUGUACUGGUCUCACUGAUUCCUCCUUCCUGAUGAACCGUAAUGCCAUUAAUUUGGUGUUGCGGGGAAUUUGGACUGUUACUUUGAAAAAAUUAGAGUGUUUAAAGCAAGCUAACGCUUGAAUACAUUAGCAUGGAAUAAUGAAAUAGGACGUUCGAUCCUAUUUUGUUGGUUUCUAGGAUUGACGUAAUGAUUAAUAGGGAUAGUUGGGGGCAUUAGUAUUCAAUUGUCAGAGGUGAAAUUCUUGGAUUUAUUGAAGACUAACUACUGCGAAAGCAUUUGCCAAGGAUGUUUUCAUUAAUCAAGAACGAAAGUUAGGGGAUCGAAGACGAUCAGAUACCGUCGUAGUCUUAACCAUAAACUAUGCCGACUAGGGAUCGGAUGAUGUUAAUUUUUUAAUGACUCAUUCGGCGCCUUACG